rnacentral:rRNA from 1 species
CAGUCGCCGCGGGAAUACGGAGGGUGCAAGCGUUAUCCGGAUUUAUUGGGUUUAAAGGGUCCGUAGGCGGACUUAUAAGUCAGUGGUGAAAGCCUGUCGCUUAACGAUAGAACUGCCAUUGAUACUGUAAGUCUUGAGUAUAUUUGAGGUAGCUGGAAUAAGUAGUGUAGCGGUGAAAUGCAUAGAUAUUACUUAGAACACCAAUUGCGAAGGCAGGUUACCAAGAUAUAACUGACGCUGAGGGACGAAAGCGUGGGUAGCGAACAGGAUUAGAUACCCGAGUAGUCCCUGUCUCUUAUAA